rnacentral:rRNA from 1 species
CUGGCUCAGAACGAACGCUGGCGGCGAUGGAUUAGGCAUGCAAGUCGAACGGGAGCAGCAAUGCUCCAGUGGCGCAAGGGUGAGGAACACGUGAACAACCUGCCUUCGAGUUGGGGAUAGCUUCUGGAAACGGGAGAUAAUACCGAAUAACAGUCACCGGAUCGCAUGAUCUGAUGAUCAAAGCAGCAAUGCGCUUGAAGAGGGGUUCGCGUCCCAUUAGCUAGUUGGUGAGGUAACGGCCCACCAAGGCGAUGAUGGGUAGCUGGUCUGAGAGGACGAUCAGCCACAUUGGGACUGAGAUACUGCCCAGACUCCUACGGGAGGCUGCAGUCGAGAAUUUUGGGCAAUGGACGAAAGCCUGAACCCCCAGCAAUGCCGCGUGCGGGAUGAAGGUCUUCGGAUUGUAAACCGCUGUCAAGAGGGACGAAAUUUGACGGUACCUCUGGAGGAAGCCACGGCUAACUACGUGCCAGCCGCCGC